rnacentral:rRNA from 1 species
CCUAAAAGGUAACGGAGGCGCUCAAAGGUUCCCUCAGAAUGGUUGGAAAUCAUUCAUAGAGUGUAAAGGCAUAAGGGAGCUUGACUGCGAGACCUACAAGUCGAGCAGGGUCGAAAGACGGACUUAGUGAUCCGGUGGUUCCGCAUGGAAGGGCCAUCGCUCAACGGAUAAAAGCUACCCCGGGGAUAACAGGCUUAUCUCCCCCAAGAGUUCACAUCGACGGGGAGGUUUGGCACCUCGAUGUCGGCUCAUCGCAUCCUGGGGCUGUAGUCGGUCCCAAGGGUUGGGCUGUUCGCCCAUUAAAGCGGUACGCGAGCUGGGUUCAGAACGUCGUGAGACAGUUCGGUCCCUAUCCGUCGUGGGCGUAGGAAAUUUGAGAGGAGCUGUCCUUAGUACGAGAGGACCGGGAUGGACAUACCUCUGGUGUACCAGUUGUCGUGCCAACGGCAUAGCUGGGUAGCUAUGUGUGGACGGGAUAAGUGCUGAAAGCAUCUAAGCAUGAAGCCCCCCUCAAGAUGAGAUUUCCCAACUUCGGUUAUAAGAUCCCUCAAAGAUGAUGAGGUUAAUAGGUUCGAGGUGGAAGCAUGGUGACAUGUGGAGCUGACGAAUACUAAUCGAUCGAAGACUUAAUCAA